rnacentral:rRNA from 1 species
GACGAACGCUGGCGGCGUGCUUAACACAUGCAAGUCGAGCGAGGGUUUGCUCAGUAUUGAGUAUUCUAAGACUAGAAUGUUCAAUUCUGAGCAAAACCAAGCGGCGGACGGGUGAGUAACGCGUGGGUAACCUGCCCUAUACACAUGGAUAACAUACUGAAAAGUUUACUAAUACAUGAUAAUAUAUAUUUGCGGCAUCGCAGAUAUAUCAAAGUGUUAGCGGUAUAGGAUGGACCCGCGUCUGAUUAGCUAGUUGGUGAGAUAACUGCCCACCAAGGCGACGAUCAGUAGCCGACCUGAGAGGGUGAUCGGCCACAUUGGAACUGAGACACGGUCCAAACUCCUACGGGAGGCAGCAGUGGGGAAUAUUGCACAAUGGGCGAAAGCCUGAUGCAGCAACGCCGCGUGAACGAUGAAGGUCUUCGGAUCGUAAAGUUCUGUUGCAGGGGAAGAUAAUGACGGUACCCUGUGAGGAAGCCCCGGCUAACUACGUGCCAGCAGCCGCGGUAAUACGUAGGGGGCUAGCGUUAUCCGGAUUUACUGGGCGUAAAGGGUGCGUAGGUGGUCCUUCAAGUCGGUGGUUAAAGGCUACGGCUCAACCGUAGUAAGCCGCCGAAACUGGAGGACUUGAGUGCAGGAGAGGAAAGUGGAAUUCCCAGUGUAGCGGUGAAAUGCGUAGAUAUUGGGAGGAACACCAGUAGCGAAGGCGGCUUUCUGGACUGCAACUGACACUGAGGCACGAAAGCGUGGGUAGCAAACAGG